CUGUGUGGUACCCUAUUGCAGAAAGUGGCUAUCACAUACAAUUUAAAAUGACUGACAACUCUGCGAGUGGAGUAACACCUAA
rnacentral:pre_miRNA from 1 species